GACGAGGGGUCCAAGCGUUGUUCGGAAUCAUUGGGCGUAAAGCGGGUGUAGGCGGCUCUAUAAGUCAGAAGUGAAAGCCCCGAGCUUAACUUGGGAAGUGCUUUUGAUACUGCAGAGCUUGAAUGUGGGAGAGGGUAGUGGAAUUCCAGGUGUAGUGGUGAAAUACGUAGAUAUCGUAAGGAAGACCAGUGGCGAAGGCGGGUCUCUGGACAGUUCCUGACGCUGAGGCACGAAGGUCAGGGGAGCAAACGGG
rnacentral:rRNA from 1 species